AGUGAACGCUGGCGGCGUGCUUAACACAUGCAAGUCGAACGAGAACGGGUUAUAGCUUGCUAUAAUUGUCAGCUAAGUGGCGCACGGGUGAGUAAUGUAUAGGUAAUAUGCCUCUUACUAAGGGAUAACAAAUGGAAACGUUUGCUAAUACCUUAUACUCCUUAUUAACAGAAGUUAAUAAGGGAAAGAUUUAUUGGUAAGAGAUUAGCCUGUAUUGUAUCAGUUAGUUGGUGGGGUAAUGGCUUACCAAGACUAUGACACAUAACUGGUAUGGGAGAAUGAUCAGUCACACUGGAACUAAGACACGGUCCAGACUCCUACGGGGGGCAGAAGGGGGGAAUAUUGCACAAUGGACGAAAGUCUGGUGCAGCAACGCCGCGUGGAGGAUGAAACAUUUCGGUGCGUAACCUCCUUUUAUAUGAGAAGAUAAUGACGGUAUUAUAUGAAUAAGCACCGGCUAACUCCGUGCCAGCCGCCGCAGUAA
rnacentral:rRNA from 1 species